CCGCCGUGCCUGGUCCCCGCCCCGCUCUGGCCCGGGGGUCCCCAGCACUUGGCUGGCCCUUCGCGGCCCUCAUGCACUGCGAUCCCCAGAGGUGUUUUGGAACCGAUAAUGAACCUCUGGUCAGUACCAAGGGCUGAGGAACGAUCACAGUGAACACCCACCUGUUUUUUCCAGAGCAGCAGAACUGGUCUAUAUGGAACAUACUGGGAAGCCAAGUGGGCAAUUGCCUGUGCUGUUUAUUUUUAUGGCAGUUGACAGCACUGGAAAACUCUGAGCACACAGACUGCAGCACUGCCAGCAGAGAUUGGGAGGGAUGAACAAAGAUUUGCCCUCACAAUGGUACAGGAUGGGCCAUAUCUCCAGAUAACAAGCCUUGUUGAAAAAAGCUCUGCAGCUAAUAAUGGAAAACUGAAACCAGGUAAAACGAACCAAUAUUGAUAUUAAAAUUUAAUUGCAUUGAAAAUAUCCUUGUUCUGCAUUUAUGCUUUGAGCCUGUCUCUGAUUUAUUUACACUUACACAGAUCAAAAGAAACUCAGUUGAAAAUUACAGAGAAAAGAAACUAGCACAAACUGUAUAAAGCUCAGUGCCAGCAUUCCACUGUGAUGAAAUACCUGUGAUCUUAAAAUAGCUGAUAUGGUGACUGUUCCAUAAUCAGAUCAAGAUUUAAGUCUAUACAUUGUUCUCCAGCAAAAACAGAUUUCCUAGUCACCAGCAGAUUUUUUCCAAAAAAUAUUUUGACUAUUACCUUUAUGUAGCAACUAGACUUGAAUAAUAUAAUUCUUUAUUCAGUGCAUUAUUGUUCAAGCAAUUUCUUUCUGCAAGUAACACAAAUCUUCACAAGGUUUGAAAUUAAUUUGCCUUAUUGUUUGCUUUUUAUUUCUCUUUAUUACAUAGAGUAGUUACACAGUAGCAAUAGACUAAUCUCUGUGCUUCAACAAUCCACGCAGGUGUUCAUUUGCUGAAUGUUUUAAAUCUGAAAUGAACCAUAUCAGAACUAGCAGACUAUUACCAGUUAUUAAAGGUUUCUUGUGGAACAUCUGACACCUGUAUUAAACUUAAAAUUGAAAGCUCUGUAAAUGUGAGUGCUUCACAUGGGUCCCCAGCCCAAUUACAUUAAACUCAUGAACUACAGUUUGGGGACAAUACUGUGCUAUGGUAAUUCCCAGCAUGAAAUUGUCUCUUAACAUUGAAAUCUAUGAAGCAAAAACUGCAGUGUAAUGAAGUAAUUUAGAAAUUUACUGGCUGUACAGUGAAAAGGCAUAUCUUUAAAUUAGAACAAUUUUCCUAGCAGUGCCUUUAUAGUUUGGGCAGUCCUUCCUUCAGAAUUGCAAAUGCCAGGAAGAAACAUCGACUUGCUGGAUGAAAUAAAAACCAUCAAGUGGAGUUGGCAUGCAGCUUUUAAGAACACAUUGCUCUCAGUGCUAAGGGUGGUCCAUACACUCAGUAGAAUUAAUCUAGACAGGUUACAAGGCAGUUCCAAGUUUUCCUGAGGCAGAGAAUUUUAAUAGAAAUAAACUUCAGAGGCAGGGGAAGGAGCAGAAGUAUUAAAAUGAGAUAAUUAGGCUAGAACAGCAGAAAGGAAGCUCACACAUAGCAAGGGACUUUCCAAGAGAUUAAACCUUUAUGUUUGAAUAAAUCAUUAACUACACUGAAGGAGCAGAAAAAGAAGAGCUUGCUUUUCUAUUGACUGAGCAAAGAGAAAGACCAAAGGAAAGAGUAUAUAAGGGACAAUAAACAACAGAAUGUUUGAUACUAGAGGAGCUCCAGAACUGAAUAACUUGUCUUUAGAACAUGUGUUUGAAAAAAAAAUGAAUAUCCCAUGAUUAGUUAGCUAAAUGGCUAUGGGAAUUACUGCAUGUUUAAGUAAUAGCAUGCUGUGUGAGUGAAAACACUGAGGAUGGAGAUGACACUGGGUCCAGUAGUGAUGAUGAUCUAGACUUGCAUGCUUUUCAAUACAAAUCUUUACAGUUAGUGUUGCAAGUUCACUCAUGUUACCAGCAAUAUCCAAAGUUUGGUGAAUAUCUGAUACAGGCCAGACACUUGAAUAGGCUGUACUCCAUAAUGAGGCACUGGAGCACUGUGCAAUGCUCUAUUGGAAGCCAGUGGUUUGACCUCCCUCAUGCUGAGAUCCUUUCCUCUUCUUCCUGCCCUUCUGUAUCACAUGCAUCCUGUAAGACUUGGCUUCAGAACGCCUCAAAACUUGGCUUCUUCAAACCCUAAAUUUCUUAUGAUGUAUUGUAUAUGUUUUCUUUUAAUAUAUGCCUAGACUUCAAAAAUUUAUGUCCUGAGAGAUUUCAAAUUAUGUAUUAGCUAUAUAUGGAUAAUCCCCUCAAAGACAUUUUCCAGUACUCCUUGUGGAGAAGUCAUGAAAAAACAAAACCUCUGCUAGUCCCAGACAAGUAGGAACUGCAAGCUCUAAGAAAGUCUAAUAUAUUCAUCUUUGUUUGAAGGCAGGUUUCUUUACUUAAUUGAUAUAAGGAUGGUAGAGACAAUCUAUCAGGAACUUUUCCUGAAUAUACAAGAAUACAUAGAUAACCAGUGGUAAUUACAGCAUUUGUCUUCAUUGCACUGAUAAUUUUUAUAAUUAAUUUUUUUACAUUGACCAAAACUCUUCUUGUUUUCACACUGUGGUUUUUUACCUCCAGUGUACAGAGCCAGAUUUAUCAGCCUUUUAUAUACCAUUUUCAGUGAAAAAAACUUCUACACAAAAUGUAUGAACUCAGCACUUUAUUUGAUGAGUGCAAGCCCACAAUUACUCCAGAUUAACUUUCUGAAAGAACUGAAUUCAUAAAUAACAAGUUAGUAGUAAUUCAUUUAGAACAUGGUGACUUAGAGCAUAGGUCCAUCUUGAAUCAAAUCCAUCCCAGAUUUGU